GGGAUAAACGCUGGCGGCGUGCCUAACACAUGCAAGUCGAACGCGCUUUCGGGCUUCGGUGCGAGAGCGAGUGGCGGACGGGUGAGUAACACAUGGGUACCUACCUUGGAGUGAGGGAUACCGGCGAGAAAUCGCCGACAAUACCGCAUAGGCUUCUUCACAAGGGAAGCAAAGUGACGCGAGUCACGCUUUGAGAUGGGCCUGUGGCCGAUUAGCUAGUUGGGGGGGUAACGGCUUCCCAAGGCGACGAUCGGUAGCUGGUCUGAGAGGACGAUCAGCCACACUGGGAUUGAGAACGGCCCAGACUCCUACGGGGGCAGCAGUGAGGAAUUUUCCGCAAUGGGGGCAACUCUGACGGAGCAACGCCGCGUGCAGGAGGAAGGUUUUCGGAUCGUAAACUGCUUUCCUCGGGGACGAGCAAGGACGGUACCCGAGGAAGAAGCCCCGGCUAACUACGUGCCAGCAGCCGC
rnacentral:rRNA from 1 species